AACGCUAGCUACAGGCUUAACACAUGCAAGUCGAGGGGAAACGACAUCGAAAGCUUGCUUUUGAUGGGCGUCGACCGGCGCACGGGUGAGUAACGCGUAUCCAACCUGCCCACCACUUGGGGAUAACCUUGCGAAAGUAAGACUAAUACCCAAUGAUAUCUCUAGAAGACAUCUGAAAGGGAUUAAAGAUUUAGCGGUAAUGGAUGGGGAUGCGUCCGAUUAGCUUGUUGGCGGGGUAACGGCCCACCAAGGCGACGAUCGGUAGGGGUUCUGAGAGGAAGGUCCCCCACAUUGGAACUGAGACACGGUCCAAACUCCUACGGGAGGCAGCAGUGAGGAAUAUUGGUCAAUGGGCGAGAGCCUGAACCAGCCAAGUAGCGUGCAGGAUAACGGCCCUAUGGGUUGUAAACUGCUUUUAUGCGGGGAUAACGUGCACCACGUGUGGUGUAUUGCAGGUACCGCAUGAAUAAGGACCGGCUAAUUCCGUGCCAGCAGCCGCGGUAAUACGGAAGGUCCGGGCGUUAUCCGGAUUUAUUGGGUUUAAAGGGAGCGUAGGCCGCUGUUUAAGCGUGUUGUGAAAAACCGGGGCUCAACUCCGGUCGUGCAGCGCGAACUGGACGGCUUGAGUGCGCGGUAAGUGGGCGGAAUUUGUGGUGUAGCGGUGAAAUGCUUAGAUAUCACGAAGAACUCCGAUUG
rnacentral:rRNA from 1 species